AGUUCAAACAAAAAGUACCUAUGGUGGGCAUACCUAUUAUCUAAUAUCAAGUUCUAGGUGAUCAAUCUAAAACUAGGAAUAAGAAUAAUCAAGAUGAAGAACCCUAAGAAUAAUCCUAAGG
rnacentral:sRNA from 1 species